GGUUAAGCUACUAAGAGCACACGGAGGAUGCCUAGGCGCUAGGAGCCGAAGAAGGACGUGGCGAACAACGAAACUGCCUCGGGGAGCUGUAAGCAAGCUUCGAUCCGGGGAUGUCCGAAUGGGGAAACCCAGCUGAUGUAAUAGUCAGUUACCCGUAUCUGAAUACAUAGGAUAUGAGGAGGCAUACCCAGGGAACUGAAACAUCUAAGUACCUGGAGGAAGAGAAAACAAGAGUGAUUCCGUCAGUAGCGGCGAGCGAACGCGGAACAGCCUAAACCAGAGAGCUUGCUCUCUGGGGUUGUGGGACGUCUCACAUGGAGUUACAAAGGAACAUAUUAGACGAAGAGGUCUGGAAAGGCCCGCGAUACGAGGUAAAAGCCCUGUAGUCGAAAGUAUAUUCCCUCCGAGACGGAUCCCGAGUAGUGCGGGGCACGUGAAACCCCGUAUGAAUCCAGCAGGACCAUCUGCUAAGGCUAAAUACUCCCUAGCGACCGAUAGUGAAGCAGUACCGUGAGGGAAAGGUGAAAAGCACCCCGGAAGGGGAGUGAAAUAGAACCUGAAACCGUGUGCUUACAAGAAGUCAGAGCCCGAUCUAUGGGUGAUGGCGUGCCUUUUGUAGAAUGAACCGGCGAGUUACGUUCCCAUGCAAGGUUAAGGCGAGAAGCCGUAGCCGCAGCGAAAGCGAGUCUGAAUAGGGCGAUAUUAGUAUGUGGACGUAGACCCGAAACCGUGUGAUCUACCCCUGUCCAGGGUGAAGGUGCGGUAACACGCACUGGAGGCCCGAACCCACGUAUGUUGAAAAAUGCGGGGAUGAGGUGGGGGUAGCGGAGAAAUUCCAAUCGAACUCGGAGAUAGCUGGUUCUCCCCGAAAUAGCUUUAGGGCUAGCCUCGGAAUUGAGAGUCGUGGAGGUAGAGCACUGAUUGGGUGCGGGGCCCGCAAGGGUUACCAAGCUCAGUCAAACUCCGAAUGCCAUAGACUUAUAUCCGGGAGUCAGACAGUGAGUGCUAAGAUCCAUUGUCAAAAGGGAAACAGCCCAGACCAUCAGCUAAGGUCCCCAAGUGUGUGUUAAGUGGGAAAGGAUGUGGAGUUGCACAGACAACCAGGAUGUUGGCUUAGAAGCAGCCACCAUUUAAAGAGUGCGUAAUAGCUCACUGGUCGAGUGACUCUGCGCCGAAAAUGUAACGGGGCUAAACACACCACCGAAGCUAUGGCUUGA
rnacentral:ncRNA from 1 species